AUAGCAGCGAAAGCUGUGCUAAUACCGCAUACGAUCUACGGAUGAAAGCAGGGGAUCGCAAGACCUUGCGCGAAUGGAGCGGCCGAUGGCAGAUUAGGUAGUUGGUGAGGUAAAGGCUCACCAAGCCUUCGAUCUGUAGCUGGUCUGAGAGGACGACCAGCCACACUGGGACUGAGACACGGCCCAGACUCCUACGGGAGGCAGCAGCU
rnacentral:rRNA from 1 species